rnacentral:lncRNA from 1 species
CUGAAGUGAAAUGAGAAGAAAAUGGAGGAGGCUAUAGCAAGGUACUGGAUGCCAGUCCAGGCACACAGAGACAUCACUCUGAACUGGUACAUUCCGGGAAAUCCCAAGGUGAACUUGACUAUGAUCAUCCUCUCUCAUUGGUUCCUGGGCAAGAGGGUUGUAGAAGGCAGAAUAAAGGCCCCCCAAACAUGUCCACAACCUAAUCCCUGAAACAGUAACAGUACUGACUCAAUGAUAAAGAAAAGCUUGCUUGCUUAAAUAUAAUUACUUUGCUUGACUUUGUAGAUUAUUCAGUAAGAACAGUCUCAGGAAAACAGGACCUUCAACAGAGAUAAGAGAAUUAAAAUAUGCAGACUAACAACUCUGGGAAUGGGCUGACCAGCCUGAUAAGAAUAGGCUGAUGGCACCUACAGAAGGCCACAAAACACUGACCAAGAAAGCAAUGACCAACAAAGCAAUGACCUGAGACUGCACAUUUCACAAGAAUGUUUUGAUCAUCAUUUUUUCUAAUUUCCCUUAAAAACCCCUGAUAUGGAGACAGAACUCGGCGGUCUUUGAACACUAGUUCACUGCCUCCCCUGGGUUGUUGGAUUCCUGAAUAGAGCUAACCAUCCUUUCACCAAUGCUCAUCUCUUAAACUUUCAAGUGACAAGUGGUCUGGACCUGAAUUUCGUUACAAAACCUAUGUAUACCUUACCUUACAUGGCAAAGGGGACUUUAGAAGUGCAAUUAAAUUAAGGAUCUUGAGAGGGGGUUAUCCUGGAUUAUCUGGUUGGGCCCAAUGUAUUUGUAAGUGAUAGAGGGAGGCAGGUGAGUAAAAAAAGGAAACGUGAUGAUGAAAGCACAAGUCAAAAUGUGAUUGCUGGCUUUGAAAAUGGAUGGAAGCCACACCCCAGGGAUCGUGGACAGCCUUUAGAACCAGAAAAGGACAAGGAAACAGAUUCUCCAGUCCUCUAGAACCUCCAGAAGGAACAUGGCUCUGCUAAUACUAUGAUAUUAGCCCUUUCAGACUGAUUUCAGACUUCUGACCAGCAGAGGUAUAAAUCAUAAUUAUAUUGAUUUAAGCCACUAAAUUAGUGGUUAUUAGUAACGGCAGCAACAGGAAACUAUAUCAGCAACAAGACUCCUUCCUUCAUAGAACCCAAUUCCCAACCAAUUUUCAAACUUUCACAGAAAAUCUUGCCACACACUGAGACUAGGAACAUCCAACAAAAAAAUGCUAUCACUUUCAAAUGGAAAACCCAGGAUUGUAGAGAAGAUCAAAUUUUGUCAUGUAUCACAUUUAAACACUCAUCUCUACCUCACCAAACCGUGGUACUAAUGUGUACCAAUCUUAAAAGGAGGUAUUUCUGUUCCCUCAGAGCUCUGGGCAGAAGACUAUGCCUGUGGACAAUGUAGAAUUAUCUGCUGAAUGAAUAUCUGAAAACUGUUUGGAGAGGGGAAAAGCAUUGAGAAGAAUUGGGCUCUUUGCUACUAUUACUCGCUAGAAUGGGAGACGUUUGGAAGCAGUUCCCUUAAGGAACCAAACAAGGCAGGAAAUUCUGGGAUAAAUCUGGUGUUCACAUUACACAACAAAAUGAUUGUACUUCAAGAAGGAAAGAAACAGCAACUCAC